rnacentral:rRNA from 1 species
CUGUCAAGUCGGAUGUGAAAUCCCCGGGCUCAACCUGGGAACUGCAUUCGAAACUGGCAGGCUUGAGUCUUGUAGAGGGGGGUAGAAUUCCAGGUGUAGCGGUGAAAUGCGUAGAGAUCUGGAGGAAUACCGGUGGCGAAGGCGGCCCCCUGGACAAAGACUGACGCUCAGGUGCGAAAGCGUGGGGAGCAAACAGGAUUAGAUACCCUGGUAGUCCACGCCGUAAACGAUGUCUACUUGGAGGUUGUGCCCUUGAGGCGUGGCUUCCGGAGCUAACGCGUUAAGUAGACCGCCUGGGGAGUACGGCCGCAAGGUUAAAACUCAAAUGAAUUGACGGGGGCCCGCACAAGCGGUGGAGCAUGUGGUUUAAUUCGAUGCAACGCGAAGAACCUUACCUGGUCUUGACAUCCACAGAAGAAUCCAGAGAUGGAUUUGUGCCU